rnacentral:rRNA from 1 species
AUUGAACGCUGGCGGCAGGCUUAACACAUGCAAGUCGAGCGGAGAUGAGGUGCUUGCACCUUAUCUUAGCGGCGGACGGGUGAGUAAUGCUUAGGAAUCUGCCUAUUAGUGGGGGACAACAUUCCGAAAGGAAUGCUAAUACCGCAUACGCCCUACGGGGGAAAGCAGGGGAUCUUCGGACCUUGCGCUAAUAGAUGAGCCUAAGUCGGAUUAGCUAGUUGGUGGGGUAAAGGCCUACCAAGGCGACGAUCUGUAGCGGGUCUGAGAGGAUGAUCCGCCACACUGGGACUGAGACACGGCCCGGACUCCUACGGGAGGCAGCAGUGGGGAAUAUUGGACAAUGGGCGGAAGCCUGAUCCAGCCAUGCCGCGUGUGUGAAGAAGGCCUUUUGGUUGUAAAGCACUUUAAGCGAGGAGGAGGCUACCUGGAUUAAUACUCUAGGAUAGUGGACGUUACUCGCAGAAUAAGCACCGGCUAAUUCUGUGCCAGCCGCCGCAGUAAUAC